AUUGAACGCUGGCGGCAGGCCUAACACAUGCAAGUCGAGCGGAGCGGCGGACGGGUGAGUAAUGCCUAGUAAUCUGCCUGGUAGUGUGGGAUAACGUCCGGAAACGGGCGCUAAUACCGCAUAAUAUCAGAUGAGCCUAGGUCGGGUGAGCUAGUUGGUGGGGUAAAGUCUUACCAAGGCGACGAGCCGUACCUGGUCUGAGUGGAUGGUCAGUCGCACUGGAAGUUAUACACGGUCCAGACUCUUACGGUAGGCAGGAGUGGGGAAUAUUGGACAAUGGGCGAAAGCCUGAUCCAGCCAUGCCGCGUGUGUGAUGAAGGUCUUCGGAUUGUUAAGCACUUUAAGUUGGGAGGCGUUACCAACAGAAUAAGCACCGGCGAACUUCGUGCCAGCAGCCGCGGUAAUUC
rnacentral:rRNA from 1 species